rnacentral:rRNA from 1 species
UGAAGGACGUGCUAAUCUGCGAUAAGCGUCGGUGAGGUGAUAUGAACCGUUAUAACCGGCGAUUUCCGAAUGGGGAAACCCAGUGUGUUUCGACACACUAUCAUUAACUGAAUCCAUAGGUUAAUGAGGCGAACCGGGGGAACUGAAACAUCUAAGUACCCCGAGGAAAAGAAAUCAACCGAGAUUCCCCCAGUAGCGGCGAGCGAACGGGGAGGAGCCCAGAGCCUGAAUCAGUGUGUGUGUUAGUGGAAGCGUCUGGAAAGGCGCGCGAUACAGGGUGACAGCCCCGUACACAAAAAUGCACAUAUUGUGAGCUCGAUGAGUAGGGCGGGACACGUGGUAUCCUGUCUGAAUAUGGGGGGACCAUCCUCCAAGGCUAAAUACUCCUGACUGACCGAUAGUGAACCAGUACCGUGAGGGAA